UUAAAUUUAAAAUUUUAUACAUUAGAUUAGUAAUUGUUAAAUUCUUGAAAAUUAAAAAAUUUGACGGUAUUUUAUCUAAUUAGAGGAACUUGUUUUUAAAUUGAUAAUCCUCAUUAAAUCUUACUUAAUUUUAAAAAUUUAUAUACCGUCAUUAUAAAAAUCUUUAUAAAGAAAAAAUUUUUAUUGUAAGUAAUUAUUUAAUAUUUUAGAUCAAGGUGUAAUUUUAUUUAAGUUAAAAUGAGUUACAAUAAAAUUAUUUAUACGAAAUAUAAUUUGUAAAUUAUUAUAUGAAGGUGGAUUUAAUUGUAAAUUUAAAAAUUAAAUUAAAUUGAUUAUAGAUUUAAAAUGUGU
rnacentral:rRNA from 1 species